GAUCAUUUCAAAUGAAAUUAAAAGGUGAGCGUUUUUAUUUCUCAGUUUUAAAUCCCCGUUCUCAGUUUUAAAUCGGAGGAAAUAUAAUAAUUUUUACGAAGAGCUGGAAGGCGUUUUGACAAUUUACUACAAAAAAUAUAUACGAAAGAAUUAGGAAUUCCAAUAAAUGUUGAAGCGUACAUCCAAUCUCAGAGCUGACACAGAAGUGGGAGGGGCCACACAGAAAGACGCCCACUGGUUCACUGGGUGCCUUCCAGACAGCAUGUAAUGGCACGUGGAGGCCUAUCUUCUCACAUAACCUCGGAAAGCUACGCACCCAGCCCUAAUUCUACGUUUCAGAAACAACAGUGUUCGUUUGAUGUGGAACUUCCAAGGAAACGUCUUCCUGAAGAGACUCACAGAUGCCUUUUUACUGCACCGUCUCCCAUUCAGACUGGAGCACAGUGUCCUGGAAUGCCUCUCAUAACAGCUUCAGCUGGGUCAAGCACUAAUUGAUGACCAUUUCCAGGAAGUCUGCAGAUACAGGAUCUGUCCUGCUGCCAGAGACAAAAGAAAUAAUCAUCUGAAAAGGAAAAAAAAAAAACAUUUUUUUCAGUUUUUUAUGAGUAUAUUGAACAUUCAGAAGACAUAGUCUUCACAGA